CCAGUCUGAAUGUACUUGCUAUUUGUGGUUGUGAGAAACUUGUUGAGAGUUGGAUGGGGUGGAGUUUGCAAAAUCUUGCCUCUCUUAGAUAUUUGGAAAUUACCGGUAGAUCGAAAUUAGAUGUGGUGUCUUUUCCGGAGAAGGGGUUGCUUCCCACAAAUCUGAUCAGUCUGGUCCUUAAUAAAUUCUCAAAUUUGACGUUGUUCGACAAGAAUGGGCUUGAGAACCUCACCUCUCUUAAAAGUUUGCAUAUCAGUGACUUCCAAAAGCUAGAGCGCAUGGCACUUCAACGCCUCACCUCACUUGAAAAUUUGACAAUCUGGGAUUGUCCAAAGCUGGAGUACUGCUUGUUAGAAGAGGGGCUUCAACACCUCACUUCCCUUUCUACUCUAGAGAUCGAGUCUUGUCCUUUAUUAACGAAGAGAAGGUGGUGGGAAAGAAGAAAAGGAAAAGAAUGGCGACGCAAGUUUGUUCACAUUCCCAACAUAACACUUGACGGAGAAUUGAUUGAGUACUGAGCCAACCAAAAGUCUGCAUAUGAUCAAAACAUGGACACGUGAUAUGGUCAAUGUGGGCAGGAGUAAAUUGACAUUGAAAUCACGAACAAUGAUUGUUCACCUGCACUGAAGGUUUGCCUUGUCGAAUUGUAACACGUCGGAAGCUGAGAUAUUAGCAGAGAACGAGUUUGAGUAGACGACCGGACGUGAAAGUAGUUGGAGUUGAAUAGAAGUUGUGUCGUUUUACUAAGUGGAACUUGAACUUUGUGUGACCAUGUUGUUUUGGAAUGCUAGAGAACUUUCCGUUUGGCU